CGUGAGCAACCUGCCUUUCAGAGGGGGAUAACAUUUGGAAACAGAUGCUAAUACCGCAUAAGAUUACAGUACCGCAUGAUACAGUGAUCAAAGGAGCAAUCCGCUGAAAGAUGGGCUCGCGUCCGAUUAGAUAGUUGGUGAGGUAACGGCUCACCAAGUCGACGAUCGGUAGCCGGACUGAGAGGUUGAACGGCCACAUUGGGACUGAGACACGGCCCAG
rnacentral:rRNA from 2 species